GUGUGUGUGUGUUGACUGGUUGGGGAAAGAGUUUCUGGUGCUUCACUUCCAUGUUCGACAGCAUGUUUGCGCGUCUCAGCUCAGAGCGUCUCUCAGCCUAAUCCGUCCUUAUCUCCCAGCGCGACAACACAACAAGAGGAUCUCUAAAGAAGACAUUUCUCUUUUUCCGCGGCGCUGAGCGCUCCAGCGAUGCUGUUUAAGCGCCGCCUGCUUGUGCGCUAUGUCUUUUCUCUUCUUACAAGAUUCAUUUGGUUUGAGCGUGCACUCACACCUGCGCAUGAGUGCCUUUAACUCAGCGAGAAGAACAAGUGUGUGUGUGCUUUUGUCUGAACUUGUGCAUUCCAGCUCAGGAAGCGAGUGCUGUUGUCAUUCCAAAGCACCUCCAACAUCAAACUCAGACUAAAGGUUGUCUGCAAGUCUUGACAUUAGAUAAAUGCCUGGUCGGGUUGUACAUACAGCUUUACCAAUUCUCCAAUAGGUCUCCCGGUCUCUCUCUCCCCCUCUAUCUGCCAGCCUCUCUUUCUCUCUCCAUCCAGGCUGAUCUAAUGACUCAUAGGAAUGCAUCGAGCUGCUUGUCAGAGAUCAAUCAUCUUCGUCAGGUCGUUCUACCGAUUGUUUGAAUAGCGGGCCAUUAGAGAGGAGCUGUUUGGAGGUGUUUUGUGAACCUAAGCGGCUGCAAAGGUCAGCUGGAUAGAGAGAGAAAGAGGGAGGCCAGGACUGAGUGAGAAACAUACAAAGAGAGAAGUGUGUGAGUGUGUGCGGGGCCGCUACGACAGCAGGAGGACGAGAGGCAACAGACAGGUGGAGGUAUGCGGAGAUAGAAAGACAGGCCUUGUCAGCCCCGUUGCGUGACUCUCACUGCCCUUUGUUAGUAUGAAUCCUUAAACAGCUAGCUGCAAGUGCAAAACCUGAGAUUAUUAAUUCCCACGCACCGCCUGACAUCCAGGCCUGAUCUGAAAUAUGCAUGUCAGAGAGUAGAAGAGAGAUGGGUGGGUGCUGGAGGGGGGGUGGGAUGAGAAGAUAGAGCGGGUGGGAAGCGGGGAGACCAAAAAAGGGCCAAUACCGGAAUGGUGGCUGCCUUUUGGAAGUGGCGACAGAUUCUGUUUAAUGUGGCCUGUCUGUAGCCAUCUAAUGAGGGAACCCACCUGUGAUUUUGCUUAGCGCCAUGAGAGAAACCCCUGGCCGCAAACUGCUAACACAAGGUGCCGUCAACUUUUUCAAAGGUCCUUCCUCCUGAAACUGCCACGUCUUGUCUUUUGAAAUGAAGUUCCGAGACGGUGUAAUUUAAAGAUCUUCAGUCGCUGGAUAUAAGACAUUUUCCUCCUUUUUUUUUUUUUGGUUUCCAAAGAGAUUGGGCGCGUGUAAUUGUGUCUGUGUGUGUGUGUUUGUCUCUCGCUCUCUCUGCGUGUGUGACACCUUCUUUCCUUUGAAAAACAAGAAGAAGAAAAAACAGACUGGGAUUUCAGCAGAAACAACAAUUGAUGAUUAAAAGUUUUAUUGCCAAGCUGUCUGCAGAGGUACAAUCAUAAUGCUGAGGUCAUUUGAACAGCAGAAAAGUUUGCUGCUCAUCAGUACCGUGGCUUCAGGAAGUAAAGCGCUGUGGCAUCUCAUUUUAAAACAGGGGGAGGUGAGCGAAGCCGACACCAGACAUAAAACCCAGAUUUCAUUUGUCGAGGGGGUUUCGUCUUCUGAACCUGCCGCUUUUACAGUAAUCUGACCGCUGCGGUUGAAGUUGUGUUCAUAAAUGGGACCUGAUUUAAGGCGGUUGCGUCUUGCCAGUAAUUGCCGGUGUGGUGGGGACCUUUGUUGCAGACUCCUCUUAUCAAAAACCUUCAGAGGGGAAAGCUGAAUUAAAAUCAGCUGUUUAGCGGAUAAUGUAAAGGCGGGUUUCCGUUACGAGGAUACGGAAAGUGCAAAAAAAAUGGAGAAAAUCUCCUGCCCCACAUAACUGCACACGACAGCCAUCAAACUCAAGGCCCAAAAGUCAUCAUCCUUUUUUGUGGAAUAUGAUAACAAAAAGACAUGAUAAAUAUACAGAAAGGCAAUUAUCUUAUUUCCUCCAGCUGCUAGUUUAUAUUCUUGAUGCUACUUUAAUCUACUUUUUUUUGUUUAUUCAUUUUUCUCCCUCCUUUUUCAUUUUUUGGUUGUUCCUUUCCCAGAUCUCACAAAGCGGUCGGAGAGGAAAAGUAGGGCGCUCCCUUUGCAACCCAAGACUACGUCUCUUCA
ensembl:lncRNA